UUCGUAGGCGGUGCGGUAAGUCGAGAGUAAAAUCUCCAGGCUCAACUUGGAGGCGCCUCCCGAAACUGCCGUGCUCGAGUGCUGGAGAGGCGAGUGGAAUUGCAGGUGUAGCGGUGAAAUGCGUAGAUAUCUGCAGGAACACCAGUGGCGAAGGCGGCUCGCUGGACAGCAACUGACGCUGAGGAACGAAAGCUAGGGGAGCAAACAGGAUUAGAUACCCUGGUAGUCCUAGCCCUAAACGAUCAGGUCUUGAGGUGAGCCCCGUUCGGGGUUUGUCUCGUAGCCAACGCGAUAAGACCUGCGCCUGGGGAGUACGGUCGCAAGACUGAA
rnacentral:rRNA from 1 species